GCCGGAGUGGCGGAAUGGCAGACGCGACGGAUUCAAAAUCCGUUGGGCUUUACGGCCCGUGUGGGUUCGAGUCCCACCUCCGGUAC
rnacentral:tRNA from 1 species